rnacentral:snoRNA from 1 species
GAGACUAUACUCUCAGUGAUCACUUCCCGAGUUCAUUACUAGAGAAGUUUCUCUGAACGGGUAGAGCACUGGGAACCAGGAGGGGGAGGUGAGCGUUUUCUCCUGAGCAUGAGGUGGCUUUAGGUAUUGCUUCAUGGCAAUUUGGCAACUGCCAUGUGCCAUUGAAGAUGGUUCUUAUCUGCCUCUGGAAGAGGAAGAGGACACAAUCUGAGUGGU